CCUACGGGUGGCAGCAGUCGGGAAUUUUGGGCAAUGGGCGAAAGCCUGACCCAGCAACGCCGCGUGAAGGAUGAAAUCCCUCGGGAUGUAAACUUCGCAAACGAGAGUAGCGGUACCGUUUGUAAGCUCCGGCUAACUCCGUGCCAGCAGCCGCGGUAAUACGGGGGGAGCAAGCGUUGUUCGGAUUUACUGGGCGUAAAGGGCGCGUAGGCGGCUCUGCAAGUCAAUUGUGAAAUCUCCGGGCUUAACUCGGAAAGGUCAACUGAUACUGCAGGGCUAGAGUGCGGAAGGGGCAACUGGAAUUCUCGGUGUAGCGGUGAAAUGCGUAGAUAUCGAGAGGAACACCUGCGGCGAAGGCGGGUUGCUGGGCCGAAUGACGCUGAAGCGCGAAAGCUAGGGGAGCGAACGGGAUUAGAUACCCUUGUAGUC
rnacentral:rRNA from 1 species